UACGGAGGGUGCGAGCGUUGUCCGGAAUCACUGGGCGUAAAGGGCGCGUAGGCGGCCUGAUAAGUAGGGGGUGAAAUCCUGCGGCUUAACCGCAGGGCUGCCUUCUAAACUGUCGGGCUCGAGCACAGUAGAGGCAGGUGGAAUUCCCGGUGUAGCGGUGGAAUGCGUAGAGAUCGGGAAGAACAUCAGUGGCGAAGGCGGCCUGCUGGGCUGUUGCUGACGCUGAGGCGCGAAAGCUAGGGGAGCAAACGGG
rnacentral:rRNA from 1 species